GACGUAGGGUGCAAGCGUUGUCCGGAUUUACUGGGCGUAAAGAGCGCGUAGGCGGUUCAUUAAGUGUGAAGCUAAAUCUCCCGGCUUAACCGGGAACUAUUUCGCAUACUGAUGGGCUGGAGUGAUGCAGAGGUGGAUAGAAUUCCCGGUGUAGCGGUGAAAUGCGUUGAUAUCGGGAGGAAUACCCGUGGCGAAGGCGGUCCACUGGGCAUCAACUGACGCUGAGGCGCGAAAGCGUGGGUAGCAAACAGG
rnacentral:rRNA from 1 species